rnacentral:ncRNA from 2 species
GGCGUUCCGUGUGACUGGCGAAAUCUAAGGUGGGCGACCACCGGGGAGCGCGGGACCUCAUCACGCCGCUCGCCUGGGCAUUUUCC